AAGUGCUUUAUAUACUAUAUAGUGAUCAAAUCAUAUUGUAAAGAGAGAGAAAUAUGGCUAAAACUCUAAAAGUUAUGUAUACAAUGGUUUUAUUUUUUUCCUUAUUUCUUGUUGCAAAGAAUGUUGAUGCGUACGUUUGGUGUGAGACUGUUGAAGAUUGUUUCAAAAGUCAGUACUUUAUUUUUGAUUGCAUUAACAACCAAUGUAUCAAUGUUGGAAAAAACCCAAAGGAACCUAGAUAUCCUGGUAUCCCAAGAGACCAGUAACACCUACACCAUGAUGGGAUAAUGAGUAAUUACAAUAUCAAAACAUCUAUGCAAUAAACCUUAUAAUAAAAUAUUUAGUGGUUAUCAGCCAGCUAUUGCGUUGACACUCAAUAAUUGUAUUAAAUAUUUUCUUCCAAAAAAAUUGUAUUAAAUAUUUAUUCUUCUUUUAUUAAUUUUAUGGACCGUGUAACUAUGGCUUUGUCUCUAAAGAUUAUUUGUUGGACAAUGUUAAGUUAAUGUCAUUUUUAUGGUUGAAAGCUAAUUAGCUUACUUCCGCCUUUAGUUA